CCCUUAGAUGUUCUGGGCCGCACGCGCGCUACAAUGAUGAAUUCAACGAGGUUAUAACCUUGGUUGAAAAGCCUGGGUAAUCUUUUGAACUUUCGUCGUGAUGGGGCUAGACCCUUGCAAUUAUUGGUCUCCAACGAGGAAUUCCUAGUAAACGCAAGUCAUCAGCUUGCAUUGAUUACGUCCCUGCCCUUUGUACACACCGCCCGUCGCACCUACCGAUUGAAUGGUCCGGUGAAAUCUUCGGAUUGAGACUUUGAUUUCUUCACGGAAAACGCUGUUUUAAAAAGUUGAUUAAACCUUACCAUUUAGAGGAAGGUGAAGUCGUAACA
rnacentral:rRNA from 1 species